rnacentral:rRNA from 1 species
AUCUGGGCGGCGGAAUUCAGGAUGGCUGGCGGGCUGCGCGCUUGUCCGGUCGUUUGAUAUUUCCGUCGCCGUGUCAGACGUCGCGACCUGUUUGUCGUCGGCCCAUGCUCGGAGGAAUCGCGAUCGAGUUCGUUGCGCAGUGCGUUCCGGCGUGCUGUGCGGUGAAGACGCGGCUCUCUGGCUGACGGUGGACAGUAAGCAACGGUGUCCGACGCCGUGUCUCGCACUCGGCGCCGGUGCCGGUCUGCGACGAUUUCUUCGGGCCUCUUUCCGACCCGUCUUGAAACACGGACCAAGGAGUCUAACAUGCGCGCGAGUCGCGGGGUUUCGAGCGUACCACGGUGCGCUCGUCACUCACAAAACCCGUUAUGUUGAAGGCGUAAUGAAAGUGAACAGGGAAGAUGGCGUUCCGAGACCACGUACCGUGAUCGAGUGUCGCGGCCGGACGUCCGCACUCCCGGGGCGUCUCAAUGGCUCGUCGCGGACGCGGACAGUCGUCUCUCGGGGCGGCUGUCGGUCUGCGUUGGGUCGA